UACGUAGGGUGCGAGCGUUAAUCGGAAUUACUGGGCGUAAAGUGUGCGCAGGCGGCAGAGCAAGUCGAGUGUGAAAGCCCCGGGCUUAACUUGGGAAUUGCGCUCGAAACUACUUUGCUGGAGUGUGGCAGAGGAAGGUGGAAUUCCACGUGUAGCGGUGAAAUGCGUAGAGAUGUGGAGGAACACCUGUGGCGAAAGCGGCGCACUGGACCACAACUGACGCUGAGGCGCGAAAGCUAGGGGAGCAAACGGG
rnacentral:rRNA from 1 species